UACGUAGGGGGCAAGCGUUGUCCGGAUUUAUUGGGCGUAAAGAGCGUGUAGGCGGCCAGGGAGGUCCGUUGUGAAAACUCGAGGCUCAACCUCGAGACGCCGAUGGAAACCCCCUGGCUAGAGUCCGGAAGAGGAGAAUGGAAUUCCUGGUGUAGCGGUGAAAUGCGCAGAUAUCAGGAAGAACACCCGUGGCUAAGGCGGUUCUCUGGGCAUUACCUGACGCUGAGGAGCGAAAGUGUGGGGAGCGAACAGG
rnacentral:rRNA from 1 species